GAUGAAGAACGCAGCGAAAUGCGAUAAGUAAUGUGAAUUGCAGAAUUCAGUGAAUCAUCGAAUCUUUGAACGCACAUUGCGCCCGCCAGUAUUCUGGCGGGCAUGCCUGUUCGAGCGUCAUUACAACCCUCAGGCCCCCGGGCCUGGCGUUGGGGAUCGGCGGAGCCCCCCGUGGGCACACGCCGUCCCCCAAAUGCAGUGGCGGUCCCGCCGCAGCUUCCAUCGCGUAGUAGCUAACACCUCGCGACUGGAGAGCGGCGCGGCCACGCCGUAAAACACCCAACUCUUCUGAAGUUGACCUCGAAUCAGGUAGGAAUACCCGCUGAACUUAAGCAUAUCAAUAAGGGAGA
rnacentral:misc_RNA from 1 species